GACGAACGCUGGCGGCGUGCUUAACACAUGCAAGUCGAACGGAAAGGCCCUGCUUUUGUGGGGUGCUCGAGUGGCGAACGGGUGAGUAACACGUGAGUAACCUGCCCUUGACUUUGGGAUAACUUCAGGAAACUGGGGCUAAUACCGGAUAGGAGCUCCUGCUGCAUGGUGGGGGUUGGAAAGUUUCGGCGGUUGGGGAUGGACUCGCGGCUUAUCAGCUUGUUGGUGGGGUAGUGGCUUACCAAGGCUUUGACGGGUAGCCGGCCUGAGAGGGUGACCGGCCACAUUGGGACUGAGAUACGGCCCAGACUCCUACGGGAGGCAGCAGUGGGGAAUAUUGCACAAUGGGCGGAAGCCUGAUGCAGCAACGCCGCGUGCGGGAUGACAGCCUUCGGGUUGUAAACCGCUUUCGCCUAUGACGAAGCGUGAGUGACGGUAAUGGGUAAAGAAGCACCGGCUAACUACGUG
rnacentral:rRNA from 1 species